GGGUGUGCUUCCUUGAGGGUGUGGGGUUCCCUUGCUUCUGGAUUGCUUCAAUGAGCCCUAAUGAUGCUGAUUGGCUGACUGAGCGCUGCGGUUCUGGACACGGUGACAUUUGCAGCUCAGUGGGUUUUAAGGAUUGUUGGGACUCCUCUAAUCGGUGGUGUGAGGCCUGUGGAGCAGCUAAUGGAACAUCACGACUAUGCUGACUUCCCCAGGGUCUUACGGUCAUUUCUGUUUCACCAGCAGAUCUGGGUGGCAGCAGAGAGCUGCAGCGCUCCCGAGUGCUGUAAGGACUGCACGGAGAGAUGUGCGGGUCUUCACGGGAACAGCCAGGAACCGAAAGCUGCAUUUCCUGGGAUGCCCUGGAGCUCCACUUUGCUGACUGGUAAUUGUCUGCCCAGCAGGCAGGUCUUCAAUGAAGAUAUUGGACAGAACAGGCCUGAAGAGCACUCAGGAUGGCAUACCAGCUGCAUUUAACACGAUGGAGCAGCACUCAUUAGGCCAGGCGGUUCAGCUAGUUCUUCAUCUAGCAAGCAACGUACC
ensembl:lncRNA